GCCACCAGCCCACGACCCUUCCUCUCUCGAUCUCAUCUGGACCUCCUGCUCCGCCCCGCCCCGCCCCUCACCGCCGUCCGCGGCCGCGCGCCGCCGCCCCCUACUCCGCCGGCGCGCCUACCCAUUACCCCAAGUGCCAACACACCCGCGCCCAUCGACUACGGGCGACCCGCGGCCUUCCACCGCCGGCGACGCUCGACGUCGCGGCCAUUGGCGGCUCCCCGGCCCUGCUACCAUGGCGCCUCCGGGACUCCUCCCCGCUCCUUCCACCUCGACAUUGGUUUUCCCAACCCCGCCGGCUUCGCCACCAGCCACUCCUUCCAGGCGCACUCUAUCCGCCGUCGUCGGACCCAUCCGACUGGUUCCAAUGGCGAACAUCGACGCGAUUCACCCGCCCACCAUCAGAUGCGACAGCAAAUCCAUAGCCCCUGGCCACCCCCUCCGCCGCCGGCGCCGGUGCCUCGAAGGUCAAGGGAAGACCCCCUACUCGGCCCCCAUCGCCGUCCGCGCCGCCGCCCUUUGCCGCCGCCACCACCGCCACCACCGCCGUCCAAAUCGCCGCCCCCAUAGCCGUCCAAACUACUCUCCGCAACACCUCUCCAUCCCACAGCUGCCGAAGACAGGGAGGAGGACGAGGCUGGCUAGGCAGGGAGGCCGAAGGUGAAGUGCAGUGGGAGGCACAUUGGUUUGUGCAGAGGGAGGUCUAUGGUCAGCUCAUUGGAAUCUCACAGGCCACCACGGGGAGAGCAAUCACGCAGGCACAUCAACCUCCCCCGCCAGGUAUGUUCAAUUGAACCUUCACUAUUAGUUGAGCUAACCGUCUCCAACAGCAACGUCCCAAUCACAAAUAAUUAUUUAGGUUUCUUACUGUGUGCGUGGAUGUGGCAUUGGAAGGAUAGAUGGCAGUACUCGUGUGGAUGCAACAACUGACUGUUAGUUUGUUCAUUCAGAGACUACCACGAACCAGUUUGAUUUGUGCUAUAAUGCUCUUGCAAAUAAUUAUAGAUGUUGGUGAAAACUGCAGAUGUUGUGGUGUUCAGGAAGGACCGUAGAUACAGCAGCGGUCCAUCCGCAACCGCGGCCACGGGUGCCUAAUCUAAGGCGACCUCCUGUUUUGACAUCGUCCUUGGUAGCUGCAAGCGUGGAAACAACCUUGGCAGUGCAGCGGCAGCCACAAGGUUGUUCCUAGACCACUCCACCUCUGAACUGUACAAUCUGCUGUGCUUUCUAGCUAUUCUAUUUAUAUGUAGCCAUACAUUGGUACAGUUAAUUCAUAAACAUGAUUCAAUAGGAUUUGAUAUUUUUUCAUGUCUCAAGUUUUUAGCUCUUCCCUCUUGGUGUGCAAAUCUUUUAGAGGGAAUUUGGUGUGCCAAUUAUUUUCCUGAUUACUGUAGUUAUAGUUUUUCUCACUGUUAGAGCAGAGUAAAAUUCAAACUAUGAUAUUAGUGGUGGUUAGCUGAUAACUUGAUCAUAACAGGGGGCACACUAAUCUUCUUUCUUUUCUUCUCUAACAAAGUCUUAAUAUUAUAAGAAUGUUGUUUUCUUCUUUCAUAAUCUGACAAAUAAAAUUUCCCCUAAUUUCAGUUUGGAUAAGUCAAGGUUGCUUUUGGAUCUUAGUAGAAGAUAGACGUUAUGGAUUUAGACAAAAAUAGAUGUGGAUUUAGGGGUUCCGUAUGAUACUCAUGUCUUCUCUAUUUGGGGUACAAGUUCAAGUGAUCUUUUAGGCUACUAUUGAAGGGAAAUAUGUAUGCCGUUUUGUUCAUUUCAUCUCCACCUACCCACCUCGCAUCUACACAAUCCAACUACUUAAAGGAACAUACAGUUCUAGAAGUGAGAACUGUUGAGCUAUUAUAGCGCAGUUUUGGGAUGAUGGAUGUUCAGGCCAGCUAUGCAGACCUUAAGGUAAAUGUUUUUCCAGCUAAUUAACAUGAAAUGUCUUGUAACUUGAACUAAUAAUGAACAACUGAGGAAUGCUGCCUGAAUGAAUCCAAAAUGUGUUGGAAACACCAACGUCCAGUUGGAGAGGGAGCUAUCUGGAUCUCCAUCCAACUAGGACAUGUCUGCUUACAACUUUUUGUUGAACAUGAUAUUACAUGAUUCUAUCAAAGAUAACUCUCCUUUCUUCAGUGUACAUGCAUGAUAUUACAUGAUUAAACAUACCAUUUUUAACUUCAUUUAGUUGUCUAUAUUAUGCUCUAUGUGCUAUCACCAACAAAAAUAGUGUUACCUCCGUACCAGGCCUACCAAAUAUCUUAUAUUUUGGUACACAUGUAGUAUUUUUAGCCUGCAAAGCGACUCCUAUGCCCAGUGUGCCAAUAAUGUGUUUGCACCAGUGAAGAGAUAACUUAUUUUUUACAUUGUAAGAAAUACAUCCUGUUUCUUCCCCAUCAUUUAAGUGUGUGGCAUGCUAUCUUUGUUCAUGUUGCUGGCUGUACAUUUUCAGUAUUGUCAGGAUAUAUCUGAUUAUGAUGAUGUUCAGUACUACUUUGGAGCCGCAACUUUUUGGACUGCUUGAUGUUUAUAACCAAUGAGACUACUUUUUUGGUUGUUGGCUGGAGCUAUCACUAUGACUGGAUUUGUUUUCACCCAAGUAGAUGUAUAUGGUCAUCAAAAACCAACGACAGGUCAACACUUGUCAGCAGUUUGCAAUUUGUAUUACAGUAUGCCUAAGCCAAUGGUCAGACAAUGUUGUUUUAGUUAGGAAAUGUAGAAAAUGUGGUCAUGAUUUAUGUAGAUUCGACAGUCCCUUCAAACUGCAGUCUUCAACCUUGAGUGGACCAUCUAACUAUAUGUUUCCUUGUAGAAAAUUGACUAUAUGUUCCAUGAAUUGACUGAUUAUUUUGGCCCGAUCAGAUUAAACUAGGUCUUGAUUUGAAGGUCCAGCUAAGGCAGCUGGUGCUGGUUUAUUUGUUGUAAUACUAACUGUGCUAUUUAGACAGAGACAUGUGGUCUUUCUCAUUCCUCGAAAUUUUCCUUUGCUACCAAGAUUUUCCAUUCUAGGUUGUGGAAAAAUACAUGUAGCAUUCCUUCUACAAGUCGUCAUGAGCUGGGACAUAGAAGAAGAGAGCCGACGAGAAGUCGCACAGCGGUUCGCUCCGGUGUGGCUGCCAAUGGCGUUGCGCAAAGUGCAGAUUACAGGCUAGAUGCGUACGAGUCCGUCCCUACUUCCACGACGUGGAAGCAAAGGAAAUCGAGUCAAUUAGAUAGUAUAUUUGGUUAUGUAAGUUGUCUUUUGUGUAUGCAGUUUUACCAUUAUUUUGUAAAAGCUUUGAGUUUUUGAUAAUGUAAUUGUCUUACUAAUCACACUUUUAAUCUAUUCGUGCCAAGGCUAACAGCCAAGUUAUGCACAAGCUGUUGAUGUUUCCUUGA